rnacentral:rRNA from 1 species
GACGAACGCUGGCGGCGUGCCUAACACAUGCAAGUCGAGCGGAGUCGAUCGACGGAAGCCUUCGGGCGGAAGAUGGUUGACUUAGCGGCGGAUGGGUGAGUAACGCGUGGGCAACCUGCCUCGAAGACCGGGAUAACAGCCCGAAAGGGCUGCUAAUACCGGAUGUGGUCAAGGAUCCGCAUGGAUUUUUGAUUAAAGGGGAAACCCGUUUCGAGAUGGGCCCGCGUCCUAUCAGCUAGUUGGUGAGGUAAAAGCUCACCAAGGCGACGACGGGUAGCCGGCCUGAGAGGGUGACCGGCCACACUGGAACUGAGACACGGUCCAGACUCCUACGGGGGCAGCAGUGGGGAAUCUUCCACAAUGGGCGAAAGCCUGAUGGAGCGACGCCGCGUGAGCGAAGAAGGCCUUCGGUGUAAAGCUCUGUCUGGAGGGACGAAGGAAGUGACGGUACCUCCGGAGGAAGCCACGGCUAACUACGUG